GGUGAGCAGGAAGUGUUAAGUACAUCAAGGCUUUGGUGAGACGCAGGCACUCCAGAGCGUCAGGGGCUUGUCCCCUUGGUGAGAUCACCAGGCAGUGGCAUCUCAGACAUCCGCUUGGAGCUAAAUACAGGCUACUGCACUUUGCACCUCCUAUCAUGAUGAAAGGAAGAGAAAACUUGGGUUUUGGAGGCGGCACACUCCAUACCUGGGGACCCUGAAGAGACACAUACGCCAGAGACCUCCCUAUUUGGGUUUAUCUGAGGAUUAUAACUGAUGCCGAAGUUUGGGCAGGAAUGUCAGAGAAGUGGUGUCCUCAGCACCAGUGAUGUCAGUCUGGUGAUGCUUCCCUGUGCUGUUAGCAUGGUGUCUGCUGGUUUCUCUAUGAGAACGGCAAGAACUCUCAGCCCACACGCCCUGGAGAAAACCCUUCCCCUAAAGGACUUUGCCGAAACUCAGCCUGAGGCUGUGCCUAUCCCUGGGAUGACCCCUUGAGGGCCACGAAAAGCUCUAGGCUGACACAAGAAUUUGCCGUUUGUUCCAGCCAACACCUAAAGUUAGGCUCCUGAUUUCCCUGUUCUUAGAGGAUUUAUUUUUAAAAAUCUACAAUUUGUAAGAACUUCCUCUUUCCCUUUAAGAUGUGUUUGUAUCUCUUACAUCCCAGGAGUGUCUUUCUCAAGGAGUGUCAUCCCCUUGAAACUUCAUAAUCAGGAAGACAGGGGCCUCUUCUACCAGUGUUUGGGAGAGAGAGAAAAUCUAACUUCGGUAGUACCAGUUAGCAGACAUGAAUGGCCUAAUCACUUUGACAUUGGCCGAUUUUCUUACCCGCUUUUUGUAAUUUUUCACUUUCUGAACACUGCUGGAGUCCUCGCUCCAUUACCUCCCCUACUUGCUGUCUGACUUUGUUUAUCUUUAACAUUUUCUCCCCCAUUGAGGGCUAAAACGAUGGAUGGCUGGAGAGAGGAGCCAACAGAGGAGGUUGGACAGGUUCAACAGGAGGAACGAGAGGCAGCAGCAGAGUUUAAGAAAAGCCAUCUUUUACUGCACAAGCAAGGAUCCAAAAGAAGAAAUGGCACAGGGGGAGAUACGGCUAAUAAAGCAGAUUUGGACUUUCUUACUACUUGGGGGCAAGGACCCCCUGGUCUCUAACUCCCAUGGUAACAUGACAUAGUAGGAAGGACAGUAACAUAUGCAGCUCUUGAUUUUGAAGAUGACUGUAUGUGGUCGGGCUCCACCCUGCGUUACACAAAAGAAGUGAGUACCUAAGACAGUAUGCAACCAGUCUAGAGUCUUAAAACUCAAGGUGAGAGAUGGUGGUGGUCAGCAGUGAUAAGUUCAAAGGUAGAGCAGGGAGCACGCACCUCAGCUGCAUCAAGUGGAGCUAGCUCCUUCACAGUUUAAGUACAUGGAACCCCAGCUUUUCUUUCCAUAACCUGGAAAAGUUCUGCUUUCCAGAUACAAAGACAAACGGAGCCUUCUGCUUGGACUUCCGGUGCGGACCUGACAGCCCCCACGUGUGAGGCGCCCGUCGGCCAGGACCCGCAGAGUCACCUGCAGCAGGGACUCUCCCCGCCGAGCCCCACCAGACAGAAGAGGGCUCUAGAGCUCCUCGCCAGCUCAUCACGGCACAGCCGCUGUUUGUUGCCAGGUCUCUUUCGGCAGUGGAUGGCCUCUCCUUCUCUGCGGGCUGCCUGAGUCUCUGCAUUCCAGGACACCGGUAUCAAGGCGGAUCCGUGUGUCCUGUCCUUGCCCUGCUGGAUUCCACUUUGAGUGAGGGUCUGAAGCCAUUUCCCCCUCGAGUUUCAUGAAAUGGUCUGCAUGUACCAACUAGGGUCUGCAGCCCUGCUUACUGCAACCAUUUAGAGGGCAAAUUAUCUGAAAAGUGGCGGAUGCGCCAUCAGCUUGAAGACCAAAAGGGAAAUGUCCAGUAGGCAAACUGAUCCCACGUGCAGAUCCGUUUCUAAAACGUCACCCACCAUUCCCGUGUCAGUCCUGGAGGGCCCGGAGCUUUCAGCUGAUUAGUCUUGGAGCAAGCUCACAGGCAACCAUCAUUUUGCUUCAUUUAACAGCUUUACAGCUACACUGCCAUUUCCGUGCCCUCAUCAGCUGACUGGCCUUAAGGCUGACUGAUAAACACGCGAAUGAUGGCAGAAGUCACCCGAGGGAUGAGCACAGCACCCUAUUGUAACUUCAGCAUCUCCCUGGCUGGACUGGCAAAGACCCCAGAGUAGCACAGGCCUCCGGAUGCUGCAGUGCUGGGGGCACCUGGAGAGGGGCAGUUUUUAAUUGAACAUUUUUCGGGCAUCUGUUCAUUUUGCUCUCUCAGCACUCCUUCUUUCCUGUUAACAGCACCCUCUUCCUUUGGGGACUGGCUUCCCAAGUGGCACUGGAGGUAAAGAACCCACCUGCCAAUCCAGGAGACAUAAGAGACAUAGGUUUGAUUCCUGGGUUGGGAAGAUGCCCUGGAGGAGGGCAUGGCAACCCAGUCCAGGAUUCUUGCCUGG
ensembl:lncRNA